UGAGAGGAUGAUCAGCCACACUGGAACUGAGACACGGUCCAGACUCCUACGGGAGGCAGCAGUGGGGAAUAUUGCACAAUGGGCGCAAGCCUGAUGCAGCCAUGCCGCGUGUGUGAAGAAGGCCUUCGGGUUGUAAAGCACUUUCAGUCGUGAGGAAGGUAGUGUAGUUAAUAGCUGCAUUAUUUGACGUUAGCGACAGAAGAAGCACCGGCUAACUCCGUGCCAGCAGCCGCGGUAAUACGGAGGGUGCGAGCGUUAAUCGGAAUUACUGGGCGUAAAGCGCAUGCAGGUGGUUUGUUAAGUCAGAUGUGAAAGCCCGGGGCUCAACCUCGGAAUUGCAUUUGAAACUGGCAGACAAGAGUACUGUAGAGGGGGGUAGAAUUUCAGGUGUAGCGGUGAAAUGCGUAGAGAUCUGAAGGAAUACCGGUGGCGAAGGCGGCCCCCUGGACAGAUACUGACACUCAGAUGCGAAAGCGUGGGGAGCAAACAGGAUUAGAUACCCUGGUAGUCCACGCCGUAAACGAUGUCUACUUGGAGGUUGUGGCCUUGAGCCGUGGCUUUCGGAGCUAACGCGUUAAGUAGACCGCCUGGGGAGUACGGUCGCAAGAUUAAAACUCAAAUGAAUUGACGGGGGCCCGCACAAGCGGUGGAGCAUGUGGUUUAAUUCGAUGCAACGCGAAGAACCUUACCUACUCUUGACAUCCAGAGAACUUUCCAGAGAUGGAUUGGUGCCUUCGGGAACUCUGAGACAGGUGCUGCA
rnacentral:rRNA from 1 species